ACCCGGGUGGCGGAACAGGUAGACGCGCAGGACUUAAAAUCCUGUUGCCCGAAACGGCAGUACGGGUUCGAUUCCCGUCCCGGGUAC
rnacentral:tRNA from 1 species